GCCUAAUACAUGCAAGUCGAGCGGACUGAUGGGAGCUUGCUCCCUGAAGUCAGCGGCGGACGGGUGAGUAACACGUGGGUAACCUGCCUGUAAGACUGGGAUAACUCCGGGAAACCGGGGCUAAUACCGGAUAGUUCUUUUCCUCGCAUGAGGAAAAGUGGAAAGGCGGCUUCGGCUGCCACUUACAGAUGGACCCGCGGCGCAUUAGCUAGUUGGUGAGGUAACGGCUCACCAAGGCAACGAUGCCUAGCCGACCUGAGAGGGUGAUCGGCCACACUGGGACUGAGACACGGCCCAGACUCCUACGGGAGGCAGCAGUAGGGAAUCUUCCGCAAUGGACGAAAGUCUGACGGAGCAACGCCGCGUGAGUGAUGAAGGUUUUCGGAUCGUAAAGCUCUGUUGUUAGGGAAGAACAAGUGCCGUUCGAAUAGGGCGGCGCCUUGACGGUACCUAACCAGAAAGCCACGGCUAACUACGUGCCAGCAGCCGCGGUAAUACGUAGGUGGCAAGCGUUGUCCGGAAUUAUUGGGCGUAAAGCGCGCGCAGGCGGUCUCUUAAGUCUGAUGUGAAAGCCCACGGCUCAACCGUGGAGGGUCAUUGGAAACUGGGGGACUUGAGUACAGAAGAGGAAAGUGGAAUUCCACGUGUAGCGGUGAAAUGCGUAGAUAUGUGGAGGAACACCAGUGGCGAAG
rnacentral:rRNA from 1 species